GCCGAAGUGGUGGAAUUUGGUAGACACGCCAUCUUGAGGGGGUGGUGGGUGAUUCCCGUGCGGGUUCAAAUCCCGCCUUCGGCACCA
rnacentral:tRNA from 1 species